GAUGAACGCUGGCGGCGUGCCUAAUACAUGCAAGUCGAGCGAACGGACGAGAAGCUUGCUUCUCUGAUGUUAGCGGCGGACGGGUGAGUAACACGUGGAUAACCUACCUAUAAGACUGGGAUAACUUCGGGAAACCGUAGCUAAUACCGGAUAAUAUUUUGAAACGCAUGGUUCAAAAGUGAAAGACGGUCUUGCUGUCCCUUAUAGAUGGAUCCGCGCUGCAUUAGCUAGUUGGUAAGGUAACGGCUUACCAAGGCAACGAUGCAUAGCCGACCUGAGAGGGUGAUCGGCCACACUGGAACUGAGACACGGUCCAGACUCCUACGGGAGGCAGCAGUAGGGAAUCUUCCACAAUGGGCGAAAGCCUGACGCAGCAACGCCGCGUGAGUGAUGAAGGUCUUCGGAUCGUAAAACUCUGUUAUUAGGGAAGAACAUAUGUGUAAGUAACUGUGCACAUCUUGACGGUACCUAAUCAGAAAGCCACGGCUAACUACGUG
rnacentral:rRNA from 1 species